CCUACGGGUGGCAGCAGUGAGGAAUAUUGGUCAAUGGACGGAAGUCUGAACCAGCCAUGCCGCGUGCAGGAAGACGGCUCUAUGAGUUGUAAACUGCUUUUGUACAAGGGUAAACCUGAAUACGUGUAUUCAGCUGAAAGUACUGUACGAAUAAGGAUCGGCUAACUCCGUGUCAGCAGCCGCGGUAAUACGGAGGAUCCAAGCGUUAUCCGGAUUUAUUUGGUUUAAAGGGUGCGUAGGCGGAUUGAUAAGUUAGAGGUGAAAUGUCCGAGCUUAACUCGGGAACUGCCUCUAAUACUGUUGAUCUAGAGAGUAGAUGCGGUAGGCGGAAUGUAUGGUGUAGCGGUGUAAUGCUUAGAGAUCAUACAGAACACCGAUUGCGAAGGCAGCUUACCAAUCUAUAUCUGACGUUGAGGCACGAAAGCGUGGGGAGUAAACAGGAUUAGAUACCCCAGUAGUC
rnacentral:rRNA from 1 species